UGGGGAAUCUUGCGCAAUGCGCGAAAGCGUGACGCAGCAACACCGCGUGAGGGAAGACGGCCUUCGGGUUGUAAACCUCUUUCAGGAGGGACGAAGGGCGGCCGGUGAACAGCCGUGCCGUCUGACGGUACCUCCACAAGAAGCUCCGGCUAACUACGUGCCAGCAGCCGCGGUAAUACGUAGGGAGCGAGCGUUGUCCGGAAUCAUUGGGCGUAAAGCGCGCGUAGGCGGCCCGAUAAGUCCGCUGUGAAAGUCAACGGCUCAACUGUUGGAUGCCGGUGGAUACUGUCGGGCUAGAGUACGGAAGAGGCAAGUGGAAUUCCUGGUGUAGCGGUGGAAUGCGCAGAUAUCAGGAGGAACACCUAUAGCGAAGGCAGCUUGCUGGGACGUUACUGACGCUAAGGCGCGAAAGCGUGGGGAGCGAACAGG
rnacentral:rRNA from 1 species